rnacentral:rRNA from 1 species
UACAGAGGGGGCAAGCGUUAUUCGGAAUUAUUGGGCGUAAAGGGCGCGUAGGCGGCCUGGCAAGUGGAAGGUGAAAUCCCUCGGCUUAACCGAGGAACUGCCCUCCAAACUGCUUGGCUUGAGUCCGGGAGAGGUGAGUGGAAUUCCCAGUGUAGCGGUGAAAUGCGUAGAGAUCCGGAAGAACACCGGUGGCGAAGGCGGCCUGCUGGGCAGUGGCUGACGCUGAGGCGCGACAGCGUGAGGAGCAAACAGG